AAGGGCACCACAAGAACGCGUGGAGCAUGUGGCUUAAUUUGACUCAACGCGGGAAAUCUUACCGGGUCCGGAUACACUGAGGAUUGACAGACAACCAUAGACAGAAUACACAUACGAUCGUAUUCCUAACGGAAUAUGAUUAGUUGGUCUAAGGAUUUACACACAGGCACUAUCUCUCAUGAUUAUGUUGUAGGUGGUGCAUGGCCGUUGUUAGUUCGUGGAGUAAUCUGUCUGCUUAAUUGCGUUUCGUACAAAGUACUCACUCAAUCCUAGGCAUAGUCCAAUUAUAUGUGGCGGCAUCUAAAACAGUUUCGUUUGUGCGAACCUGUGUCGCCUCUGGGUUAUUGUCAUUUGGAGAGUACGUGAAGGCAACGAACGUGACCGUAGUGUUUUAGUUUGGAUUUCAGACAAGUGUUAUUAACUUGACACGGUCUGAGUUGGUUCAUGUGUACGCGCGCAACACACAGGAUGUGUCCCUAACGUCUUUUGACGUGAGUGUACUAACAUUUCCAGUAACCAUUUCAACUAUACAUACCACUGCUUUUUUUUCUCUAACCAGGGGAAGGUUGCGGCAAUAACAGGUCUGUGAUGCCCUCAGAUGUUCCGGGCUGCACACGUGCUACAAUGAUGAGCACAGUGUGUGCCUUUGUUGUGUCUCCAUGGUGGAAAUCAUUUUCAUUCAACGAUUAUCGAAAGAAGGAACGUAUGACGAGAGUUUUACGAAAGCCUUUGUUAACUUUCUUAUUCCAGUGAACAUGACUGACUGAAUAUCUUUUGAUCUUCGACUGUUGUUGGUACACAGUUUGCGACAUUGCUUCCCUAUUGAUCUCUGGAUUGUAGUGCGUUUGUAAUGCUGAUACUUUAAACGCUUAUCCUUUUGGUUAAGCGAUCAGAUAUCGCAUGUACCAUUGUUAAAUCCGGGUAGGGACAGACCUUUGAAAUUCUCGGUCUCGGUCUUAACCAGGAAUGCCUCGUACGAGUUGGUUAAACAUACCACUCGGAAUAUGUCCCUGCCCUUUGUACACACCGCCCGUCGCUCUUACCGAUUGUCUGUGUUGUGAGUAUUCGCGAUAGAACUACUGACUAAACUAUACGAUGUUGUUGUAGUCUAAAACGUCUACGAACAAUGUGGCUAAGAGGAAAGAGAAGUCGUAACAAGGCAUCAGUAGGUGAACCUGCCGAUGGAUCA
rnacentral:rRNA from 1 species